rnacentral:rRNA from 1 species
UACGUAGGGGGCAAGCGUUGUCCGGAUUUAUUGGGCGUAAAGAGCGUGUAGGCGGCUUGGUAGGUCCGUUGUGAAAACUCGAGGCUCAACCUCGAGACGCCGGCGGAAACCAUCAGGCUAGAGUCCGGAAGAGGAGAGUGGAAUUCCUGGUGUAGCGGUGAAAUGCGUAGAGAUCGGAAAGAACACCAGUGGCGAAGGCGGCGACCUGGGUCUAAACUGACACUGAGGUGCGAAAGCGUGGGGAGCAAACAGG